GCUGGGAGGUGAGAGGCAGCAGGAUGGACUAGCCCUGGCCUGGCGCCAGAGCGCUGUUAGUAUCAUUUAAAAAUGCCGUGAGAGCAGAAAUGGAAAAGAUGGCAACUAUAAAAGAAGUAGCUGAACUGCUGAUGAUUUGCUAUUAUAAUAGUUUCUGCAGUUUUCCUGAUGUCUGCGAAGCAUACCUCUUUUCCUGACCAUACCGGUGACAGUGGCUUCCACAGAGAGAUCUUUUCCCAAACUGAAACUUUUUUUUUAAAGCUAUCUAAGAAGCAUCAUCAGGAGAAGACAUAAUCUCCCUAAAUGCCUGCCUGGAGCUUGUGAUGAGCUGGAUGAGGGAUAACAAACUGAAACUGAAUCCAGAUAAGAUGGAAGUACUCAUUGCUCAUGGUCGGAACUUGAUUUGUACUCGAUGAUUUUGAUCUACCUGUUCUGGAUGAGGUCACAGUCUCCCAGAAGGAACAGGUACGCAGUCUGGAGGUGCUUCUGGAUCGAAGCCUCUCCCUGGUGUCCCAGGUUGAGGCAGUGCCAGUCUGUGGGAAAGUCAGUACAGAUGCUUACCACUACUUAUCACCUGUGCCGCUCUCACUCUCGAGUGUGACUUGGUGUGUGUGUGGGUUUUUUUACGUUCCUUGCUGCCGGCCAGUCUCUUCCUGUCUUCUUGCCCAGCCCUGCCUUCUCCCUUUCUCUGAAGACUACGGAGAAGCCUGCUGGCCUUGGUAGCAACGCCCCCCCCCCAUGAUCAAGCACUCCGUGGGUGGGGCUUGCCACACACCACCUAAGACUUUUA